GCCCAAUGAUGAGACCAAGGCGAAUACGAGCUUACUGAAUGAGAGUUGGUGUCUUCUUGCCUCGACUGACAGGUAAUCUUGGCAGUGCAGGGGAGGCUUCCUGCGCUGCUGUAAGGGCCUGCCUACAGUGACCUGGCUUGACCCAUAUUAUUUCUCUACAGUCAGAGUGGGGUAAUUAAUGGGAUGAAGCUGACAGUGUGAGUGUUGUGUGUCUGUGUGUACGUGUGUAAGAGGCAAGGAGUUCAUUCAGCUGUCUUUGCUGUUCAGUUAGCAAUGAGUUGCGUCUUUGGUAAUCUGAGGGCA